rnacentral:tRNA from 1 species
GGAUUAUGGCUCAGCGGUAGAGUGUUGGCCUCACACAUGCAAAGCCCUGGGUUCAAUCCUCAGCACCA